UGUUGUUUAUGAAGGAUCCAGGACCCAGAGUGGGCAGAGAAGCCUCUGCUUGCUACCAAUCUCCAGGAAUAAGGUGUGAUCCUGCCCCUGGGGCAGAGUCCAAAGAUCUAGACAGAGGGCAGCAG